rnacentral:rRNA from 1 species
AACGAACGCUGGCGGCAUGCCUAACACAUGCAAGUCGAACGAGACCUUCGGGUCUAGUGGCGCACGGGUGCGUAACGCGUGGGGAUCUGCCCUUGGGUUCGGAAUAACAGUUAGAAAUGACUGCUAAUACCGGAUAAUGUCUUCGGACCAAAGAUUUAUCGCCCAGGGAUGAGCCCGCGUAGGAUUAGCUAGUUGGUGAGGUAAAGGCUCACCAAGGCGACGAUCCUUAGCUGGUCUGAGAGGAUGAUCAGCCACACUGGGACUGAGACACGGCCCAGACUCCUACGGGAGGCAGCAGUGGGGAAUAUUGGACAAUGGCGAAAGCCUGAUCCAGCAAUGCCGCGUGAGUGAUGAAGGCCUUAGGUUGUAAGCUCUUUUGCCCGGGAUGAUAAUGACAGUACC